GUGACCUCAAAUCAGGUAGGACUACCCGCUGAACUUAAGCAUAUCAAUAAGCGGAGGAAAAGAAACUAACAAGGAUUCCCCUAGUAACUGCGAGUGAAGCGGGAAAAGCUCAAAUUUAAAAUCUGGCGGUCUUUUGGCUGUCCGAGUUGUAAUCUAGAGAAGUGUUAUCCGCGCUGGACCGUGUACAAGUCUCCUGGAAUGGAGCAUCAUAGAGGGUGAGAAUCCCGUCUUUGACAUGGACUACCAGGGCUUUGUGAUGCGCUCUCAAAGAGUCGAGUUGUUUGGGAAUGCAGCUCAAAAUGGGUGGUAAAUUCCAUCUAAAGCUAAAUAUUGGCGAGAGACCGAUAGCGAACAANUACCGUGAGGGAAAGAUGAAAAGAACUUUGGAAAGAGAGUUAACAGUACGUGAAAUUGCUGAAAGGGAAACGCCUGAAAUA
rnacentral:rRNA from 1 species